rnacentral:rRNA from 1 species
GAUGAACGCUAGCUACAGGCUUAACACAUGCAAGUCGAGGGGAAACGAUAUUGGAAGCUUGCUUCCGAUAGGCGUCGACCGGCGCACGGGUGAGUAACGCGUAUCCAACCUGCCCAUCACUUGGGGAUAACCUUGCGAAAGUAAGACUAAUACCCAAUGACGUCUCUAGAAGACAUCUGAAAGAGAUUAAAGAUUUAUCGGUGAUGGAUGGGGAUGCGUUCCAUUAGGUAGUAGGCGGGGUAACGGCCCACCUAGCCUACGAUGGAUAGGGGUUCUGAGAGGAAGGUCCCCCACAUUGGAACUGAGACACGGUCCAAACUCCUACGGGAGGCAGCAGUGAGGAAUAUUGGUCAAUGGACGAGAGUCUGAACCAGCCAAGUAGCGUGAAGGAUGAAGGUCCUACGGAUUGUAAACUUCUUUUAUAAGGGAAUAAAACCUCCCACGUGUGGGAGCUUGUAUGUACCUUAUGAAUAAGCAUCGGCUAACUCCGUGCCAGCAGCCGCGGU